rnacentral:pre_miRNA from 1 species
UUUAACGCCUUUGAUUUUUUAGCACAUGUUUAACCGUUCGUCUUAUUCAAAAAAUUUAAGUAAUUAUUAAUUCUUUUCCUAUCAUUUGAUUCAUUGUUAAAUAUAUUUUAUGUAGGCAUAUAAUUUUACAUAUUUUACAAAAAGUUUUUGAAUAAGACGAACGGUCAAACAUGCACCGGCGGAUCUAUAGGGUGGUCCGGGUG